GACGUAGGGCGCGAGCGUUGUCCGGAUUUAUUGUGCGUAAAGAGCUCGUAGGCGGCUUGUCGCGUCGACUGUGAAAGCCCGCGGCUCAACCGCGGGUCUGCAGUCGAUACGGGCAGGCUAGAGUUCGGUAGGGGAGACUGGAAUUCCUGGUGUAGCGGUGAAAUGCGCAGAUAUCAGGAGGAACACCGAUGGCGAAGGCAGGUCUCUGGGCCGAUACUGACGCUGAGGAGCGAAAGCGUGGGGAGCGAACAGG
rnacentral:rRNA from 1 species